UGCAUAUGGAUAAACAUGUGUUAGAUGCAGGUAAAUGCAAAAUGUAAUGAUGCUGAUGAAUGAAUGCAAUGCGUUGCCAUCCUCCAAGCCAUCUGAUCAUCUGUACUGAAACCUGGUCUCUGAACUCAUCAUAACCAUCUGAGGAAUGUACAAUCACCCAUCCGAUCCAAGGGUUCCGAAAUAAACGGAAGACAGAUACAUCAUCAUCAUCACCAGACAAAACUCUG
rnacentral:lncRNA from 1 species